GCCGAUAUGAUGGCAUACGUAUUAGCUCUAUCUGAUCAUUCUCUUCCCUUUAACUCUGUUUUUU
rnacentral:sRNA from 1 species